rnacentral:rRNA from 1 species
UGGGGAAUUUUGGACAAUGGGCGCAAGCCUGAUCCAGCCAUUCCGCGUGAGUGAAGAAGGCCUUCGGGUUGUAAAGCUCUUUCGCAAGGGAAGAAAACUUAUCCUCUAACAUAGGAUGAGGUUGACGGUACCUUGAUAAGAAGCACCGGCUAACUACGUGCCAGCAGCCGCGGUAAUACGUAGGGUGCGAGCGUUAAUCGGAAUUACUGGGCGUAAAGCGUGCGCAGGCGGUUUUGUAAGUCAGAUGUGAAAUCCCUGGGCUCAACCUAGGAACUGCGUUUGAAACUGCAUAGCUAGAAUAUGUCAGAGGGGGGUAGAAUUCCACGUGUAGCAGUGAAAUGCGUAGAGAUGUGGAGGAAUACCAAUGGCGAAGGCAGCCCCCUGGGAUAAUAUUGACGCUCAUGCACGAAAGCGUGGGGAGCAAACAGGAUUAGAUACCCUGGUAGUCCACGCCCUAAACGAUGUCUACUAGUUGUUGGUGGAGUAAAAUCCAUGAGUAACGCAGCUAACGCGUGAAGUAGACCGCCUGGGGAGUACGGUCGCAAGAUUA